AGUGAACGCUGGCGGUAGGCCUAACACAUGCAAGUCGAACGGCAGCACAGGAGAGCUUGCUCUCUGGGUGGCGAGUGGCGGACGGGUGAGGAAUACAUCGGAAUCUACUUUUUCGUGGGGGAUAACGUAGGGAAACUUACGCUAAUACCGCAUACGACCUACGGGUGAAAGCAGGGGAUCUUCGGACCUUGUGCGAUUGAAUGAGCCGAUGUCGGAUUAGCUAGUUGGCGGGGUAAAGGCCCACCAAGGCGACGAUCCGUAGCUGGUCUGAGAGGAUGAUCAGCCACACUGGAACUGAGACACGGUCCAGACUCCUACGGGAGGCAGCAGUGGGGAAUAUUGGACAAUGGGCGUAAGCCUGAUCCAGCCAUACCGCGUGAGUGAAGAAGGCCUUCGGGUUGUAAAGCCCUUUUGUUGGGAAAGAAAUCCAGCUGGUUAAUACCCGGUUGGGAUGACGGUACCCAAAGAAUAAGCACCGGCUAACUUCGUGCCAGCCGCCGCCGUAA
rnacentral:rRNA from 1 species